AUGCCCAUCCUGGUGUCUGCCUGUGGUAAUCACCUUCUGAAUGCACAGAGGAGACAGAAGAAGGCCUUUCAGUUCCUAAAUAGCUUUGCCCAGGAAUAGGAGAUUUAGACUUCCUGCUGUUUGAUUUGUUGAUCAGCUUUGGUUUGCAUACUCCUAAAAGUGAAAUUCAAAUUAAACUAUUGAUUACUGAUAAAUUAUCAGUGGCAACAUAAGUUCUCAGUGACAAAACCAAACCCUACCAAAAUGUUGACUACUAACGCUAAGUGAAGACUCCAGAUCAGGGCACAUCAUCAACCUAUAAAGGUGGCAAAGGCUGCUGGCCUUAAGACUGUAGGUAAUGUUAAUAAAUAUCUGCUUCCCUCUAUCUAUCUCCACCAACAGCCCAGUUUAACAGAACCAAGUGGAGAGAAAAAAGACAGGCUGCAGCAGCCAUGCCUCCUACCCCAGGACCUCACAGAAACUCUGUAAGUCUCACUGUCUCUCUCUAUUCUCCCACCACAGAGUUCACAGCACUGAGACACGUGUGACUGGGUUCUAUAACAAACUAUCACAGACUUAAAGAACCCAUAUCACUUAGCAUGUAUUUUUCAUCAGCUCCAACAGUUGCAUCUUACCCCAGUUAUAUCACUUUAACUCCCUAAUAGUUGCCAACUGAUUUUAAAGCACAGAAAUAUACAAGCAAUAAAAAUUAGACCAGAAACAAAACUUCAAUGUAUAAGUUACAGGAGGAGGGAGGCAAACACUAAACGGUCAUUGCUUUUUACCCUUUUCUUAACAGGAAACAAACACAGAAAAACUUAAAAGAUAACUGCUUAAAAGAUAAAAGGAUUAUAUAUAAAUAGUGAAAGCAUGGUGUUCGCAAGGUUCUUUGUAGGUUUGAUUUAUGGACUGUAAAUGAUGUCAUACACUCUGUGGCCCCUCCCUAUAGUUAUGUUGAGGAAUUGCUAUCCAUCCAAUAGCUUUCUGGGUUCUGGGAUCUCAAGGAUAGUAGGUUGAAACAAUUUUCUAUUUGAAUUAUCUUUCCCUGAGAUGUAUGGGGUAGGAGUACAAGUAUCAGUUCCUUCCUUCUUCUGUCCAAGCCCAGGUUCGCUGCUGGCCCAUGCCUUUGCCACUAUGGCCUUUUGCUCCCUUUCUGUGAUCUCCUGUGUGGCUCGUAGCUGCACUGAGAUUUGUCUAUUUUUAUGAGAAUAGUAAAUGACAUAGUAAAAAACUGGGGCUCGGGGCUGGUGAGAUGGCUCAGUGGGUAAGAGCACCCGACUGCUCUUCCAAAGGUCAGGAGUUCAAAUCCCAGCAACCACAUGGUGGCUCACAACCAUCUGUAACGAGAUCUGACUCCCUCUUCUGGAGUGUCUGAGGACAGCUACAGUGUACUUACAAUAAAUAAAUAAAUAAAUAAAUAAAUCUUAAAAAAAAAAAAAAAACUGGGGCUGGAGAGAUGAUGCAGUAGCUAAUAAGAGCCCAGGUCCCCAGGUUAAAUUCCCAGCACCCACUUGGGAGUUGACACCCUUCUGUAACUCUAGUUCAGGUGGAUCCAACACCUUUUUCUAGCACGUGAGUUCUCUGUGAUCCAUCAGGAUGGAAAGUACCAGAGCACCAAAAACCUUACCUGCAUGAGGUGAUGGCUCCCCUUCAUCUCUCCGUGCCUCGCUGCUCGUCACCACUGAGGUGCUGGCACUACCAGGCAUAAUGCCCACAGGAUGGGACAUGACAACACCAUGAUCUUCAACUUUAUCAUCAAAACUUCCCAUGAGAGCCUUUCUGAUGAUGUCUUCUAGACCAAGGUUACUGGCGGGAUCAGCAAAAGAAUGGCUUCUUGAGCUCACUGCACCUGAGGAGACAAAGCAGUGUACUUCUUGGUUCUGAGGCAGAUCGAGGCACAGGGAAAUGAACAGCUAGUGAAUUCACAGCACUCAAAAACGUCACAGAAAUGUUGUACUCAUUGGUGUCAUCCCUACUAUUGCUUUGUUUUACUCACUUCUCAUCGAAUAGUUAAGAAUCUUACCUGAUGUGGUAACUGCUGGCAGAUUGAAGAUCUCUGUUCCUGGCUGAGCAGCUGCUGUAUUCAAACACAUUAGGUUAAUUGAGAAGAGAUAAUCAUGAUACGAAGUCUCUAGAAAUUCUAGAAUAAAAGUUAACCUUUUAAUUUUCUACAUAUAUUUCAUUUUUAAUUUUCUACAUAUAUUUCAUUUAUUAUGUGGAGAUGAAAUAAAAAUCUCUCUCUUGGGGUAGGGAAGGUAUUAGGAAAUAAAGUCAGGUCAGGUUGAAAAUUCAAACACAAAUAAGAUAAUUCAGAACAGUAAGAAAUGUUGCAUUGCUAAAGGGGGAAAGCACACACACAUAUAGAAGCACACACACAUAUAGAAGAGGAGAAAGUUCUUUGCAGAACAGGAAUCCAAGCUUCCUAGUGAUGAAAGCCUGGGCUGAGGAGCCAUCGCAGUGGACAGUGUGGCGCAACGGUGCUCCCAGGGCUCAGUGGAAGCUCUGCCCUUAGGGACUCCCUGAAGAAGGAGAUUCUGCCUUGAUUCAUCACCUAGUCCUGGUAACAGUACAACUUAUCAUUUGCAACUUGAAUAAAUAUAGAUGAAAUGAAAACCAACUUUAAAAGCACUUGUACCAUAAGGGAAGGGACCUAGUGACCUAAGUUAUUUCUGUCACUUAUUUGCUACUGAGGACAUUAAGAGGCAAAAAUUAAUUUUUUGGAAGUAUGUAGAUCUGUAACAAAUGAUACCUGAGCACUAUAUACUAUGGGAGGUAGACUUCUGUCAAAGGGUGAGAGCCAUUUAUGAAGAACACAAGCCUAGAAAUUAGCAUUAGUAAUUGGAGCAGUUUGAAACUGACAAGAGGAAGAGGGGAGAGUAUUUUAACAGAAACUACAGGCAGCACAGUGGGUGAAGUCAGCCUGAACUAACACAAAGUUGAUAGGACUUACAUAGUGGUGCACCAUUACUAACAGAGCCACAAGAGACUAAAGAGUAACCCAGUGAGAAUAGGUGUGGUGGUAUUUGUUAGCCCAGCACUUGGGAGGCAGAGGCAGUAGGGUCUCUGUGCCAAAAUUACUAGAAACUCUUUAUCAAAAAGCCACACACAUAUACAAAAUUCAGAUGAAUAUAAUUUUAUUUAACUCAAAAAUAGUCACAAUUACCACACUGUCCCCCCCCCCCCAGUUUAAAUAUGCUGUUUUCAUAUAUAGAUCAGAAUGGCCUGGUAACAGUAAACAUGCCAUUUUCUUUGAAAAAAAAAUAUGUACAGGGUCUGUGCAGCCCCAGCUGUCCUGGUACUCUGUAGACCAGGCUGGUCUUGAACUGCUGUUUUCUACAUUCAUGGGGCCUUAUAAUUUAAGUGCUUAAUAAGCCCUCAGAUAAUCAAAUCAUACUGCAGCUUGAUGCCUCCUUGUGUGUUGUUUUUUUUUUUUAAAUGAUUUACUUAUUUUAUAUAUGAGUAUUCUUAUCUGCAUGCCAGAAGAGGGUAUCAGAACUCGUUAUGGUUGUAAGCCACCAUGUAGUUGCUGGGACUUGAACUCAGGACCUCUUGAAGAACAGCCAGUGCUCUUAACCGCUGAGCCAUCUCUCCAGCCCCAAUGCCUCCUUUGAAAUGUGACGAUUUGUUUAUAAAUGAUAGGAAAGAAAAGCACCUGAGAGCGGACCUAACAGAGGAGACCAAGAAAGGAGUGGAUUGACGUCAAUUAUGAAAGAGCAGGAACUUUGUGUGGCAAAUAGAGUUCAGUUUUAUUAAAGACCCAGUAAUAAACUCUAUGA
rnacentral:lncRNA from 1 species